rnacentral:rRNA from 1 species
GACGAACGCUGGCGGCGUGCUUAACACAUGCAAGUCGAACGGAAAGGCCCUGCUUUUGUGGGGUGCUCGAGUGGCGAACGGGUGAGUAACACGUGAGUAACCUGCCCUUGACUUUGGGAUAACUUCAGGAAACUGGGGCUAAUACCGGAUAGGAGCUCCUGCUGCAUGGUGGGGGUUGGAAAGUUUCGGCGGUUGGGGAUGGACUCGCGACUUAUCAGCUUGUUGGUGGGGUAGUGGCUUACCAAGGCUUUGACGGGUAGCCGGCCUGAGAGGGUGACCGGCCAAAUUGGGACUGAGAUACGGCCCAGACUCCUACGGGAGGCAGCAGUGGGGAAUAUUGCACAAUGGGCGGAAGCCUGAUGCAGCAACGCCGCGUGCGGGAUGACGGCCUUCGGGUUGUAAACCGCUUUCGCCUGUGACGAAGCGUGAGUGACGGUAAUGGGUAAAGAAGCACCGGCUAACUACGUG